UUUAAGGUACUGCCUGCUCAAUGCUUAAAGUAAAUAGCCGCAGUAUUUUGACUGUGCUAAGGUAGCAUAAUCAUUAGUCUUUUAAUUGAAGGCUGGUAUGAAUGGCAAGACGAGAAAGAAGCUGUCUCUUUAAAAUUAAUUGAAUUUCAUUUUUAAGUGAAAAAGCUUAAAUAAGUUUAAGGGACGAUCAGACCCUAUGGAGCUUAAUUUUAAUUUGUGAGUAAAUUUAUUUUUAAAAGUUACUUGCUUUAAGAAAUUUUGUUGGGGCGACAGAGAGAUGAAAAAACCACUCUUUUUAUUAAACUUAUAUUAACGGAAAAUUGAUCCCUAAAGAAGGAUUAAAAGACUAAGUUACCCUAGGGAUAACAGCGUAAUUUUUUUGGAGAGUUCAUAUCGAUAAAAAAGUUUGCGACCUCGAUGUUGGAUUAGGAAUUUAGCUAGGUGCAGAAGUUUAGUUGUAGAGU
rnacentral:rRNA from 1 species